UGCAUCAUUUUAUUAUAAAAUACAACUCAUUUAGUAGUAUAAAACAAAGUACUCUCGCUUACAGCACAGUAUGAAAAGACAACCCUCGUGAAAAUGGAAAAAAAAUAAAAUAAAUUGGAGAAAAAAUUUUCAGGACUUUACUUAAUGAAAUCAAAUCGAAACUAAAACGAGAUUUCACAUGGUGCAUGGAAUGUUCUUCCACGGCAAAUAGAUUCCAGGUUUUCGCCAGCAUAUGAACAAAGAGGUGAAACCUCCACACCUGUGGCAUAUAAGGGCACAGAAUGUGUCAAGAAGCCUCCAGCUGCAACCACCCAACGGGUGUGGAGACGAAGAACAAGCAAUUUAGCACUAUCAGGAGUGUCAAAGUUUGACCCGUUGGAAUUUUUAACUGGAGCAAAUUCUUCUUCGCGAACAACCUCAAAUAGUGUUGUUGAAGGUGUAUAAGGGAAAGCAUCAAAUAUGAAUUGUUCCAGUUUGUAUCCCACUGUUUGACCAUGAAUUGAGGGGAUUUUCUUCUCUGCGAGAUGAUAAAUGCUGUCUUUCUCAAGGCCAUUUGCCACUUGAUUCAAGAAAUCUACUGUAAACAUAUGUAAGCAGACAUUACUCCAACAAAAGCGAAGACGUCCUGUUUCCUGGUUUACUGCACUAGAGAGUGAAGGAUCCAACUCACUAUACUCAACCACCGCAAGUGGUCCACCUUUACCUCGACGGACAAACACACCAACCUUCUCUUGUGGAUAGGCCUUGCGUACAACUUUUGCAGCAGCAGACACACCUUUAUCAAUGAAAUAACCCAGAAAGGUAGGAUCUGCCACUCGAACCAAAGCAUUGUCAACUCCAUAGCAAUCCACAAAUUUAAUGCCUCUCGAGUUCAUGUCUUCCAAUAAUCUUGAAGAUUUCAAUGCUGUAUAAACUCCACCAUUUCCAUCCGGAGACUUCGCUACCCUGUAUGGGGUCUCCAUAAUAAACCUUCCAUCCUUUGAAACACAAGGUAUGGUACCUUGUUGGAAGAAGGUAACUUGAUCUGCUUCAAGACCAAAAUACUUAUGACUUUCAAAGUAUUUGCGUGUGGCUUCAUCAGUGAAUGGACUGGUCAUGAUAUACCACUGUAUAGGAACAAUGCCAGCACCCUCAUUUGCAGUUAUAGCUGCUAAUCUUUGAAUACACAAAAUUCUCUCAGCUUGAAGAUGGAAAAGUGAUUUCCCAGAUGGAAGUCCAAUAUUGAAACAUCCUUUGGGGUCUGAACUACCAAGUCGAGUCCCCUGGCCACCAGACAAAAGCAGCACACCCAAUUUCCCUUCUGCAAUGGCCUUCAUGCCCAUCUUCCACCACUUUUCUCUAUCUUCCAUUGUCCUCUCCUCCACAGUUGACACACAACUUUCCGGCACUGGCUCUAUCGCUGCUGCCGGAAGUCCUUGUGAAUGAAAUGAACACCGAAUGAUCCGAUCAAUCCUAGGGAGAUCUAUAUUCUCAAUAUCCUUAACAAGGAGAUCUUUUUCUUCAGAAGAAAGUUCAUCCCAUAGAGAAAAGGCAUCUUCUUGACCAUAAUCUUUGAGCCUUUCAAGUAAAGCUUGUGGUGGAGGAGAUACUGGGACAGUCUCCAUUGAUGGUUCCCUCAUUCUUCUUCUUCUCUCUCUAGAUCUCUGAGUUUCUCUCUCUAGAUCUAUAUACAAA
rnacentral:misc_RNA from 1 species